UGGUUGUGCAGUGGUUAAGCGCUCAGCUGCUAACUGAGAGGUCGGUGGUUCAAACCCACC
rfam:Loxodonta africana unplaced genomic scaffold scaffold_5, whole genome shotgun sequence.